ACCGAUUUGGCUCAGUGGAUAGAGCAUUGGCCUGUGGACUGAAAGGUCACAGGUUCGAUUCCUGUCAAGGGCA
rfam:Myotis brandtii contig220267, whole genome shotgun sequence.